rnacentral:rRNA from 1 species
UACGUAGGGGGGCUAGCGUUGUCCGGAAUCAUUGGGCGUAAAGCGCGUGUAGGCGGCCCGGUAAGUCCGCUGUGAAAGUCGGGGGCUCAACCCUCGGAUGCCGGUGGAUACUGGCCGGCUAGAGUAUCGGAGAGGUUGGUGGAAUUCUCGGUGUAGAGGUGAAAUUCGUAGAUAUCGAGAGGAACACCGGUGGCGAAGGCGGGUCUCUGGGCAGUAACUGACGCUGAGGAGCGAAAGCGUGGGGAGCGAACAGG